CAGUAGCCACGGUAAAACGGAGGAUCCAAGCGUUAUCCGGAAUCAUUGGGUUUAAAGGGUCCGUAGGCGGUCUUGUAAGUCAGUGGUGAAAGCCCAUCGCUCAACGGUGGAACGGCCAUUGAUACUGCAGGACUUGAAUUAUUGGGAAGUAACUAGAAUAUGUAGUGUAGCGGUGAAAUGCUUAGAGAUUACAUGGAAUACCAAUUGCGAAGGCAGGUUACUACCAAUUGAUUGACGCUGAUGGACGAAAGCGUGGGUAGCGAACAGGAUUAGAUACCCGUGUAGUCCCUGUCUCUUAUAC
rnacentral:rRNA from 1 species